AUCCAGCUGAUGAGUCCCAAACAAGAUGAAACACACGUCCUGGAU
rfam:Schistosoma mansoni strain Puerto Rico chromosome 6, complete genome